AGGACAUAUGUGGCUACCUUGUCACCUGCCAUGCCCCCCAGGGCCAAUUUUGCCAGUGGGCACAAACCUGCUGAUUGUAUUCACCCAUCCAUCCACCCUCCCACCCACCAGUCUCCCUUUCAUCAUCUGCCCCUUCACUCAUCUACCCACCCAUCCACCCAUCGUUCCACACCCAGCCUCCGAUGCAGCCAGCUCCUACGCAAUG
rnacentral:lncRNA from 1 species